rnacentral:rRNA from 1 species
CCAAUGCUUCUAAUUUCAUAGCAAGCUCGCUUGCUAUGAAAUAGGCAACCAGUAAUAUAAGCAAGUGUGUGCUAUUUAUAGCGCUAGCCUACAAACCUAUAAUUAUAUUAACUCUAAGAGAAAUUUAAUAAUAAACGAAGUGAAUUGAAAUAUCUUAGUAACUUUAGGAAAAGAAAUCAAAAGAGAUUCUAUGAUUAGCGUGAGCUAAAAUAGACUAGCCUAAAAAGUCAAAUGGUGGAUAAACUGUUUAAAUUAAAUGGGGAACCUUCCUCAAAGGCUAAAUAUAAUAUAUAAGCGAUAGUGGAAAGUACCGUGAGGGAACCAAAACAAAAACAGUGAUUUUAUAAGCAGUUCGGAAAAAUAAAAAAAAAAGUUAGAACGUACCUUUUGCAUAAUGGGUCACCAAGUUAACAUUAGAUGCGAGUAGGAGGGAGCAGCCCCGUGCAUACGUAGUUAAACCGAGCGUUAAAAUAACGGUAAGUAUCUAAAGUUAGACCCGAAGCCUGGUGAUUUUACCAUAAUCAGGAUUAUAAAAGUCCGAACGGAAUAUUGUAGCAUAAAUAUCCGAAGAAUUAUGGUAGGUGUAGUGAAAGACAAUACUGACCAGGAUAGCUGGUUUUCUGCGAAACCUAUAACAGUAGGCAAUUUAAGUAUAAUAUCUUAGCAGGUACAGAAUUUAAUCUCAGACAAGACAUAAGGCUUAGCUUGUUAGCAAGUAAAGCUCAUGUUUUAUUUUGUACAAAUUGGGGGAUCAUGAAGAUUUUAUCAGUGAGUAUGUAGACUCGGAAUGGCAAAGAUAUAUCUUAAAUCAUCAGACAUAGAAUGAUAAGGUUGUAUGUCAAAAGGGAAACAGCCCAGAACAAGAGUUAAGGUUCCUAAAUUAUUAGUUGAGUGAAAUUAAGAAGGUUUUUAUUAAAGUCGACAAGGAGAUAGGCUUAGAAGCAGCCAUAAUUUUAUGACCUCGUAACAGAGCGCUUGUUAAGUUUUAAAAGCAUCGAAAAUUUAUCGGAUCUAAACAAUAUACCGAAACCUUGUCCAUAUUAUUUUAUAAUUAAAGCUUAAUUAUAAUUAAAUGGGGUAGCAGAACGUUGAGCUAAAUUAAGAUUUUUAUUUUUUAAAUGAAAUUAUAAUAAUUUAACUCAAGUGAUAAUGGUGACAUGAGUAACUAAAAGAAAAAAUAAAAUUUUUCCGCCUAAAGCUUAUGGAUGUAAUUAAGUAACGGCCUCUAAGUUUAUAUUAUCUAAAGAUUUAAACGAUGAGAUAAUCUUUUGUACUAAGGACGACAUUUUAAGUGAAAAAUGUACUGGAAAAAUAGUACUAAAUUAAUGGCUAUAGCUAAUUAGGGCUAUAAAAAAAAAUUUAUUUUUUUUUUAUAAAGCUCGCUAUAGCUAUAAAUGAAAAGUAACCGUACCUAGAAUCUGAAACAAGUAAGCUAGUAGAGAAUACGAAGGCGUAAAUGAGCUAACAAUCAUAAAGGAACUCGGCAAAUUGACUACCGUAACUUCGGGAUAAGGAGAGCUCAUUAUUCUUGAUUAAUAUCAGGUAAAGAGGAAGAAGCAUGAAAUAGUGUUGUACGACUGUUUAAUUAAAACACAGCACUUUGCUGAAAGAUUAAAAAUCUAAGUAUAGAGUGUGAUGUCUGCCCGGUGCCGGCUGGUUAACAGAUAUAAUUAAAUAUACUAAUAUUUGAUGUAGACGGAAACCCCGGUUAAAGGCGGCCUUAACGUGAGGGUCCUAAGGUAGCGAAAUGCCUUGGCCGUUAAAUGCGGUCUUGCAUGAAUGAUGUAACGAUACAACAGCUGUCUCUAUGAUUGACUCAGUGAAAUUGGAAUAGCUGUGCAGAUACAGUUUACCUCUAGUUAGACGAGAAGACCCUAUGCAGCUUUACUGUCACUAAUUAUAGAGUAUGAUAAACAAUUUUCAGAUUAUAAGGUAAUUGACGGCUAGCUUGUUCAGCAAGCUAGCUCUAUGACAAUGAGAAUCCUUUAUUUUUUUUUCAUAUGAAUGAAUUGGUUUAGGAUUAUGAGUAGGUAGCUGCUUCUGCUACUUGGCGCAAGCAUUGCUUGCGUCAAGUGUCUGAAGUAUGCAUUCCAGCUCAUGCAUAGUAAAUCAACCUAAUUCAGCUUAUUUUCCUUUCUGCCAUAAGCGCAUAAUGAUAGAUUUAACUUAAAUUUUGAUUUAUGCCGAGCCCCUCCGGGGCUACUGCAGAAAUAGAUAAGUACCCUUGGCUAAGGAACUAUCGCUAGGGGACAGUUUAUGUGGGGCACAGACCCUGUAAAGAGUAAACAGGAGUGUCUAAUAAUUUAUAAUUAUUUUGUUUGCGAUUUAAGAUAGUGAAACUAUUUUUAAUCAUAUAAAAUUAUUUAUAUGUACAUUCGUUGUAUAUAUAUUUAAAAAAAGGUAGGAUUUUCACUAUAUAGAAAUUAGAGAUAAUAAAAAUAUUAAGAAUAUACCUUUCAGGUAACACUAAUAUUUUUUAGCUAUUAAGACAGGCUAUCAAGCUAGGCUCUAAUAGUUAUGUAUUAAUUAUCUAAAAAGCUCAACGGCUAAAUCUUGCCUUACUGUUUGAUUAUCAACAAAUCUUACAGUUGCGUAAGCAGGGCAUAGGAUCACAAGAUGCAACAAGGAAAGAUCUUGGAUUAUUGGAAAAGCUACGCUAGGGAUGUUUGUCCUUUAAUAUUUUAUUACACAGCGGCUUUAGUUA